UCUUAUUUACCAUUAAGAAGAAUACUGUUUAUUCAGUUAAUGUGAUUUUAUUUAUUUAUUAAUUUUUUUUAGUAAAAGAAAUUUUAUUUUAUUAUUAUUUAAGAAAAAUUAUUUUUAAUUAUAGUUUAUUAGUAAUGUGAAUGAAUAAUUUUUAAAUUUUUAAAGAAAAAUUUGAUUUUUGUACCUUUUGUAUCAGGGUUGAUUAAAUUUAAAUUAUUUAUUUUAAUUUUCUCGAAUUUAAAAGAUUUAAUUAAUAAUUUAUUUAUAUGUGUAAAAAUAUUUUAUAAUUAUUAGUUUGAAAUGAAACGUUAAUCGUUUUUAAAUAUAUCUAGUUUCUUAAGAAAAGAAUUUAAUUCUAUCAUUAUUUAUUUAAAUUUUUAUUUUUAAUUUUUAAGUUUUAAUGGUUAAUAUUCAAUGGGAUGAGCUUUUAAUUAUUAUUUUAAAAAAUUUAUAUUUUAUUUAGUAUUUUGUAUAAUUUGAAUUGUUAAUCAUAUAAUAAUUUAAUAUUUAUUUACUUUAUAAUAUUGAUUUAUAUAAAAUUUUAAGUUUUUUAUUAAGAAAAUAAAUUUAAUUUUAAUAUUUAUUUUAUAAUGAUUAAAUUAGUAAAUAAUUUUGUAUUUAAUUAUUUUUAGUAAGGUUGUGAAAAGGAAUUCGGCAAAUUUAUUUUUCGCCUGUUUAUUAAAAACAUGUCCUUUUGAUUAUAAUUUAAGGUUUAAUCUGCUCAAUGAAAAUUAAAUAGCUGCAGUAUUCUAACUGUACAAAGGUAGCAUAAUAAUUAGUUUUUUAAUUGAAAGCUGGAAUGAAUGAUUGGACGAGAAAAUAACUGUCUCUUUACAAUUUUUUAUUGAAUUUAACUUUUAAGUGAAAAGGCUUAAAUUUUAUUAAAAGACGAGAAGACCCUAUAGAGUUUUAUUUUUAUGUAAAUAUUUUUAGUAUAAUUUGGUUUAUAAAAAUUUAGUUGGGGUGACUAGAAGAUUAAAAUAACUCUUUAAAUUUAAAAUCAUUGAUUUAUGAAUUGAAAAUCUUAAAUUAUAAAUUUAAAUUAAAUUACCUUAGGGAUAACAGCGUAAUUUUUCUUUAGAGUUCAUAUUAAAAGAAUAGUUUGCGACCUCGAUGUUGGAUUAAAAUUUAUUUUUGGUGUAGAAGCUAGAAAAAUUGAGUCUGUUCGAC
rnacentral:rRNA from 1 species